rnacentral:lncRNA from 1 species
CAUUAUUGUAGACGUAUUGGUCAUAUUGCUCCUGCAUGCUUUACACGUCAUAGACAUAUUACUCAAUCGCAUCAUUAUAAUAUGCCUAACCCCCAAUGACCCAAGAUGGCAUGGGUACCUAAAGAACAUUAAUUUGUUUUGUAGGUAUGCUUGAAGGAAUCAAGUGUACUAUGGUACCUUGAUAGUGGAUGCUCCAAGCAUAUUACGGGAGAUAAAUCCAAAUUCCUUCAAUUAGAGCACAAAGAAGGAGGAAGUGUUAUC